rnacentral:rRNA from 1 species
GAUCAUGGCUCAGGAUGAACGCUAGCUGCAGGCUUAAUACAUGCAAGUCGAGGGGCAUCAUGCUUAUAGCAAUAUAAGUGAUGGCGACCGGCGCACGGGUGAGUAACACGUAUCCAACCUGCCGAUAACUCGGGGAUAGCCUUUCGAAAGAAAGAUUAAUACCCGAUGGCAUAAUAGAACCGCAUGGUUUGAUUAUUAAAGAAUUUCGGUUAUCGAUGGGGAUGCGUUCCAUUAGG